rfam:Triticum aestivum genome assembly, contig: Triticum_aestivum_CS42_TGACv1_scaffold_556691_7AL
CUUAUACUCCCUCCGUUCCAAAUUACUCGUCACAGAAAUGGAUGUAUCUAGAACUAAAAUACAUCUAGAUACAUACAUACCGGCGACAAGUAAUUCAGAAUGGAGGGAGUACUAA